GACUAAAAUCCGUCGAAUUUAAAAAUCGUGAGGGUUCAAGUCCCUCUAUCCCCA
rnacentral:tRNA from 1 species